rnacentral:tRNA from 1 species
GCCUGGCUGGCUCAGUCGGAAGAGCGUGAGGCUCUUGAUCUCCGGGUCGUGAGUUCGAGCCCCACGUGGGGUG